rnacentral:rRNA from 1 species
GGUAAUGUCUGGGAAACUGCCUGAUGGAGGGGGAUAACUACUGGAAACGGUAGCUAAUACCGCAUAACGUCGCAAGACCAAAGAGGGGGACCUUGGGCCUCUUGCCAUCGGAUGUGCCCAGAUGGGAUUAGCUAGUAGGUGGGGUAAAGGCUCACCUAGGCGACGAUCCCUAGCUGGUCUGAGAGGAUGACCAGCCACACUGGAACUGAGACACGGUCCAG